CCUACGGGCGGCAGCAGUGAGGAAUAUUGGUCAAUGGUCGGGAGACUGAACCAGCCAAGCCGCGUGAGGGAGGAAGGUACAGAGUAUCGUAAACCUCUUUUGUCAGGGAACAAAGGCGGGGACGUGUCCCCGGAUGAGUGUACCUGAAGAAAAAGCAUCGGCUAACUCCGUGCCAGCAGCCGCGGUAAUACGGAGGAUGCGAGCGUUAUCCGGAUUGAUUGGGUUUAAGGGGUGCGCAGGCGGUCUGUUAAGUAAGCGGUCAAAGCCCGGGGCUCAACCCCGGCCCGCCGUUGAAACUGGCAGUCUCGAGUUGGAGAGAAGUAUGCGGAAUGCGCGGUGUAGCGGUGAAAUGCAUAGAUAUCGCGCAGAACUCCGAUUGCGAAGGCAGCAUGCCGGCUCCACACUGACGCUGAGGCACGAAAGCGUGGGUAUCGAACAGGAUUAGAUACCCUGGUAGUC
rnacentral:rRNA from 1 species